UAGUUCCCAUGCAGUUGUAAAUUAAUAUUAGUUGACAUGUAGUUGUAAAUUAAUGUUAGUUGACAUGUAGUUGUAAAUUAAUGUUAGUUGACAUGUAGUUGCAAAUUAAUUUUAGUUGCCAUGUAGUUGCAAAUUAAUGUUAGUUACCAUGCAGUUGUAAGUUAAUGUUAGUUGACGUAGUUGCAAAUUAAUGUUAGUUUCCAUGCAGUUGUAAAUUAAUGUUAGUUGACAUGUAGUUGUAAAUUAAUGUUAGUUGACAUGUAGUUGUAAGUUAAUGUUAGUUGACGUAGUUGUAAAUUAAUGUUAGCUGACAUAGUUGUAAAUUAAUGUUAGUUAUCAUGUAGUUGUAAAUUAAUGUUAGUUGACAUGUAGUUGUAAAUUAAUGUUAGUUGACGUAGUUGUAAAUUAACGUUAGUUGAGUAGUUGUAAAUUAAUGUUAGUUGACAUGUAGUUGUAAAUUAAUGUUAGUUGCCAUGCAGUUGUAAAUUAAUGUUAGUUGACAUAGUUGUAAAUUAAUGUUAGUUGACAUAGUUGUAAAUUAAUGUUAGUUGACAUGUAGUUGUAAAUUAAUGUUAGUUGACAUAGUUUUGUAAAUGAAUAAAUGUUAGUUAACAUUUAGUUGUAAAUGAAUGUUAGUUGACGUAGUUAUAAAUAAUGAGAGUUAGCUGACAUGUGGCUCUAAAUUUUACAGUUAGUUAACAUGUUACAAAGCUACUUAUAAUUAGUUGAAUGUCUACAGUGGACUAUCGAAAUAAAGUGAAACCCUUUUAUACAUGCAGUGUAAAGCACAUGAGGACAGAUACUAUUGAGCUCCAUAGAAAUAUCACUGACAAGUCUUCUGAAGCCAUAUUAUACGUGAGGAACAGAUCCUGUUUCAUUAGUCUCACUUUGACCCUUAUUACACACACAUACACUCUUUAAUGUUUUGUAUAUCAUCAAUUGGCCCGGUUCAGCCUCAGGCACUUCCACAUCGUUCCAACCCAGAAUCCCAUGCAGAAGAGACACAGAGAGAUGAAAGACGAAAAAAGACGAGCGUCCAGCAGGCUUUGUGUGAUCCACCUCACUGUCCCUGAACCUCACACUAUCUGUUCAUACAGACAUUUAGAGCUGCUCUGUUUUCUCUGUACUUCUCUUGCACAUCAGAUUGAAAGACCACUGCUGCAUUUGUUGCUAACGUCACAUAAUCCUGCUCCUUUCUCUCCUUACAAUUUCUUUCUUUUUUCUUUUGGAGGGGAAUGUUUGCCUGUGUUUUCAUGGUUGUCAUGGACACCAGCACUCCUGGCUUUAUG
ensembl:lncRNA